rnacentral:rRNA from 1 species
ACGGAAGGCAGCAGUGGGGAAUAUUGCACAAUGGGGGGAACCCUGAUGUAGCAACGCCGCGUGAGUGAUGAAGUAUUUCGGUAUGUAAAGCUCUAUCAGCAGGGAAGAAAAUGACGGUACCUGACUAAGAAGCCCCGGCUAACUACGUGCCAGCAGCCGCGGUAAUACGUAGGGGGCAAGCGUUGUCCGGAAUGAUUGGGCGUAAAGGGCGCGUAGGCGGCCUGAUAAGUCUGAAGUGAAAGUCCUGGCUUCAAGUUGGGAAUUGCUUUGGAUACUGUCGGGCUUGAGUGCAGGAGAGGUAAGUGGAAUUCCCAGUGUAGCGGUGAAAUGCGUAGAGAUUGGGAGGAACACCAGUGGCGAAGGCGACUUACUGGACUGUAACUGACGCUGAGGCGCGAAAGUGUGGGGAGCAAACAGGAUUAGAUACCCUGGUA